rnacentral:lncRNA from 1 species
UUGAGGAGCAUUUCCAUGGGCUUGAAAGAUCUUUGAAGAGGCGGUUUCACGAGUUGGAAGAUCAAGAAAAGCAGUACGAAACCAAAACUAGGAGAGCCAGGGAAAUAUUAGAGAAACGAGAAGCUGCUGUUGUGGCCAAAGAACAAGUUUCAUUGGAGAAACUCCAAGAUAAACGAGAUGCUGCUAUCUUUUCCAUUUCGAAUGCUCUACAGAAGCACAGGAAGGUAUCUUCUGUGGAACCUGCUGUUGUGUCCUAUGAUGACCAAUUUGGAUCACCAGCUAUUGAUGACCAACCACCUGAAGCCAUGACUGCUGAAAGUAACUUAGGUGAAAUAAU